rnacentral:rRNA from 1 species
UACGUAGGUGGCAAGCGUUGUCCGGAUUUACUGGGCGUAAAGCGUGCGCAGGCGGUUUUGUAAGCCAGAUGUGAAAGCCCCGGGCUUAACCUGGGAAUGGCAUUUGGGACUGCAAGGCUUGAGUGCGGCAGAGGAGACUGGAAUUCCUGGUGUAGCAGUGAAAUGCGUAGAUAUCAGGAGGAAUACCGAUGGCGAAGGCAGGUCUCUGGGCUGACACUGACGCUCAUGCACGAAAGCGUGGGGAGCAAACGAGGAUU